GUGUCAGCAGCCGCGGUAAUACGAAGGACCCGAGCGUUAUCCGGAUUUAUUGGGUUUAAAGGGUGCGUAGGCGGACUUAUAAGUCAGUGGUGAAAUCCCUCAGCUUAACUGAGGAACUGCCAUUGAAACUAUUUGUCUUGAGUACAUUUGAGGCGGGCGGAAUGUGUCAUGUAGAGGUGAAAUUCUUAGAUAUGACACAGAACACCAAUUGCGAAGGCAGCUCGCUAAACUGUAACUGACGCUGAGGCACGAAAGCGUGGGUAGCAAACAGGAUUAGAUACCCCGGUAGUCC
rnacentral:rRNA from 1 species